CUUUUUUUGAAGAUUGCUGAGAAGCGCAACCUUUUGCUCUUUGAGAACCGCAAGUUUGCUGACAUUGAAAACACAUUCAUUAUGCAAGACGAAUGAUCUGUGAAAGAAGAGAUGAAGAACAAUUUUAGCUGAAGAGUUGAAGAAGACCAAGGGUGCUUUGGAUGGUGGUCUUGAUAUUCCGCACGGUGACAAGAGAUUUGGUGGCUUCAAGAAGGAUGAGAAGCAGCUGGACACUAAGAUUCACCACAAAUUCAUUUAUGAAGAUCAUGUUGCUGACUGCAUGAAGUUAAUAGUUGAUGAGGAGAUUGAGAAGUGCCAAUUUCACUUUAGUGGGUACAUCAAGAAGGGGAUUGCGGCUAAUGACAUGGAAGCACUGUACAAGAAGGGUAGGGCAGCAUAUAGAAGUGCCAAAUGGGCUUUAGUGUGCUAGCAUAUAUAAGUGUUGCAACCACCAUUGUUCCGGCUGUGAGGUCACUGGAGAGGGAGUCUGGCUUGCGAGUUUCGCCGAUGCGGUCACAACGGCGAUGCCAAACUAUGAGGAGAUACCAAAGGUGUACUGGGAGGCGGUGCUUCCUGGAAUCCCAAUUCGUCCACCUAUUAUCAACCUGCUGUUAGCCCAGCAAAAUGAUGUGCUCUUUUGUUGGUUGCGGUUCUGCAUAACUAUUGCUGGUCGCUGGAGUAGAAGCAAUGAAGCUUGAAGUUUAUAAGUUCGGGGGAUGGCAACAAUACUGCUUUUUACGCUGCAUGUCACUGUUAUUUCAUGUUUCUGAAUUUAAGUCCCGAGAACUAAGUGUCGGUGUCGUCAAACUUUAAUGUUAUGUCAUGUCUUGAGAGUUUGGUUUGUGCGAGUGUGUACUAAACAACUCUUGGAUGCUAUGUUUGAGUCAAA